rnacentral:rRNA from 1 species
AGAGUUUGAUCCUGGCUCAGAUUGAACGCUGGCGGCAUGCCUUACACAUGCAAGUCGAACGGCAGCACGGGGGCAACCCUGGUGGCGAGUGGCGAACGGGUGAGUAAUACAUCGGAACGUGUCCUGUAGUGGGGGAUAGCUCGGCGAAAGCCGGAUUAAUACCGCAUACGCUCUACGGAGGAAAGCGGGGGAUCUUCGGACCUCGCGCUAAAGGGGCGGCCGAUGGCAGAUUAGCUAGUUGGUGGGGUAAAGGCCUACCAAGGCGACGAUCUGUAGCUGGUCUGAGAGGACGACCAGCCACACUGGGACUGAGACACGGCCCAGACUCCUACGGGAGGCAGCAGUGGGGAAUUUUGGACAAUGGGCGCAAGCCUGAUCCAGCAAUGCCGCGUGUGUGAAGAAGGCCUUCGGGUUGUAAAGCACUUUUGUCAGGGAAGAAAAGGAUUCCACUAAUACUGGAGUCUGAUGACGGUACCUGAAGAAUAAGCACCGGCUAACUACGUGCCAGCAGCCGCGGUAAUACGUAGGGUGCAAGCGUUAAUCGGAAUUACUGGGCGUAAAGCGUGCGCAGGCGGUUUGUUAAGACGGAUGUGAAAUCCCCGGGCUCAACCUGGGAACUGCAUUCGUGACUGGCAGGCUAGAGUAUGGCAGAGGGGGGUGGAAUUCCACGUAGCAGUGAAAUGCGUAGAGAUGUGGAGGAACACCGAUGGCGAAGGCAGCCCCCUGGGCCAAUACUGACGCUCAUGCACGAAAGCGUGGGGAGCAAACAGGAUUAGAUACCCCCGUAGUCC